rnacentral:rRNA from 1 species
UACGUAGGGUGCGAGCGUUAAUCGGAAUUACUGGGCGUAAAGCGUGCGCAGGCGGUUCGUUGUGUCGGUGGUGAAAGCCCCGGGCUUAACCUGGGAAUGGCCAUGGAAACUGGCGAACUGGAGUGUGGCAGAGGGGGGUGGAAUUCCGCGUGUAGCAGUGAAAUGCGUAGAGAUGCGGAGGAACACCGAUGGCGAAGGCAGCCCCCUGGGCUGACACUGACGCUCAGGCACGAAAGCGUGGGGAGCAAACGGG